GGAACAAGGAUGAUGAUAGAGAGAGAGCAGAACCAGGUGUAACCGACGGUGUAACGAACAUAACGAGGUACGUCUGGUCCGGCGAAGUACCAAAACGUUACUCCCACCAUUCCGAUGGUGAAGGGUAACGAUAUGAGGUAAAACACCCACAUUUCUGAUGAUCUCCGUAGCGCUUUCCUUUUUUUAUUCGCCGGCGUUACAAGGAAAGCGAUCGGAAGAAAUGUUACCUACGUGCCCUUUGCGUGGAGAAAGAAAUACACCGAGACCGAUUCAU
rnacentral:misc_RNA from 1 species